UACGUAGGUAGCUAGCGUUGUCCGGAUUUACUGGGCGUAAAGAGCGCGCAGGCGGUCGUUCAAGUCGAGUGUGAAAGCCCCCGGCUCAACUGGGGAGGGUCACUCGAUACUGAUCGACUCGAAGGCAGGAGAGGGAAGCGGAAUUCCCGGUGUAGUGGUGAAAUGCGUAGAUAUCGGGAGGAACACCAGUGGCGAAGGCGGCUUUCUGGCCUGUUCUUGACGCUGAGGCGCGAAAGCUAGGGUAGCAAACGGG
rnacentral:rRNA from 1 species